AGUGAACGCUGGCGGUAGGUCUAACACAUGCCAGUCGAACGGCAGCACAGUAAGAGCUUGCUCUUACGGGUGGCGAGUGGCGGACGGGUGAGGAAUACAUCGGAAUCUACUUUUUCGUGGGGGGUAACGUAGGGAAACUUACGCUAAUACCGCAUACGACCUACGGGUGAAAGCAGGGGAUCUUCGGACCUUGCGCGAUUGAAUGAGCCGAUGUCGGAUUAGCUAGUUGGCGGGGUAAAGGCCCACCAAGGCGACGAUCCGUAGCUGGUCUGAGAGGAUGAUCAGCCACACUGGAACUGAGACACGGUCCAGACUCCUACGGGAGGCAGCAGUGGGGAAUAUUGGACAAUGGGCGCAAGCCUGAUCCAGCCAUACCGCGUGGGUGAAGAAGGCCUUCGGGUUGUAAAGCCCUUUUGUUGGGAAAGAAAAGCAGCAGGUUAAUACCCCGCUGUUCUGACGGUACCCAAAGAAUAAGCACCGGCUAACUUCGUG
rnacentral:rRNA from 1 species